rnacentral:lncRNA from 1 species
CCCUCAUAUGAAGUGUGAGCUUCAUACAAGAGAUCUGUGAAGUAUAGACAGAUACUUGCUACAUGGACAGAUUACAGUAAGGCUCAUUAUUUUGGAAGACCAGUUACUUUUCAGAAAGGAGUGGAACUUUCAGGUAAGCCCAGAAAGCAAUAUAGGAAUUGAUUCUAUCUCAGAUCACUGUAAUUUCUAACCCCUCCCUUCCUCCCUCCCUCCCUCCAGAAAUCAACAAGGACUUCAUUGAGUUUAUAACCUAACCGAGGAGCUCACCAUCAUGAAUCUUAGGAUUUUUGAGCUGGAAAAACCAACCCUGAAACCUAUACUUCCUAACUCCAGUCUUGACCUCUUAUGUUCCAGCAGUAUGUUACUACCUAGGCAUUUGGCUUGAUAGAAAACUUAUGAUGGGCACUUAGAAGUCAAAUGACCAAAGUAAUUAAGAAUAGCCCUGCAGGAUGAUGUAAAGGCAUCUCCAUUUCAGGCUGGGAAGAGCACAGAAAUGUUCUACCUACUGGAUCAUAGAUAAAAAUAGCUGCCAUCUACUGGUGCCAGGUACUUUACACGAUUCUCUCAUUUUAUCCUCACAGCCACUUUAUGAGAUGGGUGCUAUAAUAUCCCCAUGUAAUACAUGAGGAAUCUAAGGCAAGGAGAGCUUCUGCUACUUGUCAGAUGUUACAGUCACUAGGCUUGGAGCUUCAUCCUACAUGGAUCUCAUCCCAUUGAUCUGAAGCCUCGUCUGUACUGACUGAGGGGAGACUAUCC